UUUCCGGUUGAUCCUGCCGGAGGUCACCGCUAUUGGAAUACGAUUAAGGCAUGCGAGUCGAGAGUCUUAGGGACUCGGCAGACGGCUCAGUAACACGUAGAUAACCUGCCCUUAGGUGGGGGAUAAUCUCGAGAAAUUGAGAAUAAUACCCCAUAUGUCUAGGAUGCUGGAAUGCUUCUAGAUUCAAAGCUCCGGCGCCUAAGGAUGGGUCUGCGGCCUAUCAGGUUGUAGUGAGUGUAACGGACUCACUAGCCGACGACGGGUACGGGCCCUGAGAGGGGGAGCCCGGAGAUGGACUCUGAGACACGAGUCCAGGCCCCAAGGGGCGCAGCAGCUACGAAAACUUCACAAUGCGGGAAACCGCGAUGAGGGAAUUCCAAGUGCUGCAGUAUAACUGUAGCUGUUUAGUUGCCUAAAAAGCAAGUAGAGUAAGGGCUGGGUAAGACUGGUGCCAGCCGCCGCGGUAAUACCAGCAGCCCGAGUGGUGACCACUUUUAUUGGGCCUAAAGCGUCCGUAGCCUGUUUGGUAAACCCUUGGGUAAAUCGAGCAGCUUAACUGUUCGACUUCUGAGGAGACUGCCAGACUUGGGACCGGGAGGGGUUGGAAGUACUUUUGGGGUAGGGGUGAAAUCCUGUAAUCCCAAAAGGACUACCGGUGGCGAAGGCGUCCAACUAGAACGGGUCCGACGGUAAGGGACGAAGCCCUGGGUCACGAACCGGAUUAGAUACCCGGGUAGUCCAGGGUGUAAACGCUGCAGGCUUGGUGUUGGGGGUCCUACGAGGGCGUCCAGUGCCGGAGAGAAGUUGUUAAGCCUGCCGCCUGGGGAGUACGGUCGCAAGACUGAAACUUAAAGGAAUGGCGGGGGAGCACAGCAAGCGGAAUUC
rnacentral:rRNA from 1 species